rnacentral:rRNA from 1 species
AACAGGACGUCAUAGAGGGUGAGAAUCCCGUACGUGACCGGCGGUCAACCCCAUGUGAGGCUCCUUCGACGAGUCGAGUUGUUUGGGAAUGCAGCUCUAAAUGGGUGGUAAAUUUCAUCUAAAGCUAAAUACCGGCCAGAGACCGAUAGCGCACAAGUAGAGUGAUCGAAAGAUGAAAAGCACUUUGAAAAGAGAGUUAAAAAGUACGUGAAAUUGUUGAAAGGGAAGCGCUUGCAACCAGACUUGCCCGCAGGCGAUCUUCCGUUUUUCGGAGCCNCCGCACGUGGAGCAGGCCAGUAUCGGUUUUGGCAGUCGGACAAAGUCUCUGGGAACGUAGCUCCUCUCGGGGAGUGUUAUAGCCCGGGGUGCAAUGCGAUUAGCUGGGACCGAGGACCGCGCUUCGGCUAGGAUACUGGCGUAAUGGUUGUAAGCGACCCGUCUUGAAACACGGACCAAGGAGUCUAACAUCUAUGCGAGUGUUUGGGUGUCAAACCCAUACGCGUAAUGAAAGUGAACGGAGGUGGGAACCUUAGGGGGCACCAUCGACCGAUCCUGAUGUCUUCGGAUGGAUUUGAGUACGAGCAUAGCUGUUGGGACCCGAAAGAUGGUGAACUAUGCCUGAAUAGGGUGAAGCCAGAGGAAACUCUGGUGGAGGCUCGCAGCGGUUCUGACGUGCAAAUCGAUCGUCAAAUUUG